AUUGAACGCUGGCGGCAUGCCUUACACAUGCAAGUCGAACGGCAGCACGGGUGCUUGCACCUGGUGGCGAGUGGCGAACGGGUGAGUAAUACAUCGGAACGUACCUUAUCGUGGGGGAUAACGCAGCGAAAGCUGUGCUAAUACCGCAUACGCCCUGAGGGGGAAAGCGGGGGAUCGCAAGACCUCGCGCGAUUAGAGCGGCCGAUGCCUGAUUAGCUAGUUGGUGGGGUAAAAGCCCACCAAGGCGACGAUCAGUAGCUGGUCUGAGAGGACGAUCAGCCACACUGGGCGUGAGACACGGCCCAGACUCCUACGGGAGGCAGCAGUGGGGAAUGUUGGACAAUGGGGGCAACCCUGAUCCAGCAAUGCCGCGUGAGUGAAGAAGGCCUUCGGGUUGUAAAGCUCUUUUGUCAGGGAAGAAACACCGGCUCUAACACAGUCCGGGAAUGACGGUACCUGAAGAAUAAGCACCGGCUAACUACGCGCCAGCCGCCGCCGUAA
rnacentral:rRNA from 1 species